UUUGCAUCGACAACUGCUUUACUCUUCAGCAAAGGAAUUUCAAACGUGGAUAGCUCUUGUAAGAAAGCUCUGGAAAGCUUCUCACAGUCAUCAUUGUUACUCGCAUCCUUUUCAAUCUCAAGAACAAAGGAAGUAAACUUCUUCUGGAGCUUCUUCAAUGGAGGUUCCCCCCUUGUGGUCGUUGUCCGGGUGAGAAGCCUG
rnacentral:misc_RNA from 1 species